UCCUCGGUAGCUCAGCGGUAGAGCGUCCGACUGUUAAUCGGAUGGUCGCCGGUUCGAACCCGGCCUGGGGAGCCA
rnacentral:tRNA from 1 species